rnacentral:rRNA from 1 species
GUGCCAGCAGCCGCGGUAAGACGAAGGUGGCAACCGUUGCUCGGAUUCACUGGGCAUAAAGCGCGCGUAGGUGGCUAGGCAGGUCACUGGUGAAAUCCCACGGCUCAACCGUGGACCCGCCAGUGAAACCGCCUUGCUUGAGGACGAGAGGGGAGAAUGGAACUCUUGGUGUAGCGGUGAAAUGCGUAGAUAUCAAGAGGAACGCCGGUGGCGAAAGCGAUUCUCUGGAUCGUUCCUGACACUGAGGCGCGAAAGCUAGGGGAGCAAACAGGAUUAGAAACCCGCGUAGUCC